rnacentral:rRNA from 1 species
AGGAUAAACGCUGGCGGCGUGCCUAACACAUGCAAGUCGAACGUCUCUUCUUUCGGGAAGAGGAGUGGCGGACGGGUGAGGAACACGUGGGAACCUGCCCUUCAGUGAGGAAUACCGGCGAGAAAUCGCCGACAAGACCGCAUAGCCCUCUCUGGUGAGAGCCAGAGAAGGAAAGCCUCGCAAGAGGCGCUGGAGGAGGGGCCUGCGUCCGAUUAGCUAGUUGGUGGGGUAAGGCCUACCAAGGCGUCGAUCGGUAGCUGGUCUGAGAGGACGAUCAGCCACACUGGGAUUGAGAACGGCCCAGACUCCUACGGGGGGCAGCAGUGAGGAAUUUUCGGCAAUGGGGGAAACCCUGACCGAGCAACGCCGCGUGCAGGAAGACGGCCUUCGGGUUGUAAACUGCUUUUCUUUGGGUACGAGCAAGGACGGUACCAGAGGAAUCAGCCCGGCUAACUACGCGCCAGCAGCCGC